rnacentral:rRNA from 1 species
AUUGAACGCUGGCGGCAUGCUUUACACAUGCAAGUCGAACGGUAACAGGCCGCAAGGUGCUGACGAGUGGCGAACGGGUGAGUAAUGCAUCGGAACGUGCCCAGUCGUGGGGGAUAACGCAGCGAAAGCUGCGCUAAUACCGCAUACGAUCUAUGGAUGAAAGCGGGGGACCGUAAGGCCUCGCGCGAUUGGACCGGCCGAUGUCAGAUUAGGUAGUUGGUGGGGUAAAGGCUCACCAAGCCAACGAUCUGUAGCUGGUCUGAGAGGACGACCAGCCACACUGGGACUGAGACACGGCCCAGACUCCUACGGGAGGCAGCAGUGGGGAAUUUUGGGCAAUGGGCGCAAGCCUGAUCCAGCAAUGCCGCGUGCAGGAAGAAGGCCUUCGGGUUGUAAACUGCUUUUGUACGGAACGAAACGGUCCUGGUUAAUACCCGGGGCUAAUGACGGUACCGUAAGAAUAAGCACCGGCUAACUACGUGCCAGCCGCCGCAGUAAAAC